CGCCAUAUUGUAUAUUUAACGCGGGUCACUGGCGCGUUUAUGGGCUUUUCAUGAGAUUUUCUGCCGAGUAAAAGUGCGCGGACUAAAGAGGUAAUCGUGAUACAUAACGCGAGAUGGAUCCGGAAAAGUUGAAAGUGACUGAGUUACGGACAGAGCUCGCGAAACGUAAACUCGACACGAAAGGCGUCAAGUCAGUGCUUGUCGCGAGACUUCGUAAGGCGAUAGAAGAAGAAAAUCCAAGCCAACCAAAUCAGGAGAAGGCAAAUGCCAGUGGGAAAGAUUCGCAGGAUGAUAAUGUUCAAGAGGAUGAGGAGAAAUCGUCGAGGGUACCCCAGACACUGAAAAAGUCUCCUAGAUUGUCGAAAAAUGUUGCUACUUCGCCACAGAAAACCUCUCCUGCAGUGACGAGACGAAGAACUUCUAGCAGACCUUCUAGUUACCUCGGUAGGAAGAUGUCUCUAAAGAAAUCAGAUCAAAGUGACAUCUCUCGUGAAACAUCUCCGGAGGUAUCAGACUCUGUUUUACAAGAUGAGUCUUCUAUGCAAGAGGAUACUAUGCCAGAAGAAACAAGCACACAAGAUGAAGAGGCUCCUAUGCAAGAAGAAACUCCUGCGCAGAGAGAAAAAACUCCUGUAAGAGAAGAGAAACCUGCAUCUGUUGAGAAGGUCGAAGGGAAAGAUGCAAAAGAUUUGUUACCAAGUGCUGGAAAUGAAAAUGCUGUUUCUAUGGAAGAUAUAAAAGAGAACAAAGCAAAAGCAACUGACGUUGCAAAAAGUAAUGAAAAUCAAAAUACAAAUGUUUUACAGCCAUCGCCUGUAAAGUCACCUGUAAAAUCGCCUGUAAAGUUGCCUUUAAAAUCGCCUGUAAAAUGUAGCAAUACUGAAGUCCAGAUUCCGAAAAAAUCAGAGGAUGAUGACAAUAGAAUUGAUCAAAAACAACCAACCACGGUGAUUAAAUCACCUCAGAAACCGCAGAACGUAGGUAUUGAACAGAAUGAAAGCACUGCUUCUGAAACUGAUACAGUGCCUGGAAUUAAUGAUACCUGUGAUAAUAAAGAUGAUAUCGAGAAAGAAGAAGUAGACAUGCAAGAAAAGAGCGCAGAAUCUGUAGAUGAUAGUAACAUUGUAGAAUCAGUUGAUGUUAGCAAAAUGACUGAGACACCAGAUGAUGAUAAUACCGAAAAAGUCGUUGAUGCUAAUAAAACUGAUAUACCAGUUUAUACAGUCGAAGAAGAAGAAGACGAAAGUAUGGACAUUAAUGAGAACGAUAAAUUAAAGAACGAAGACCAGUUCGAGGGCACCAAGGAAACUUCACCCGUCAGCAAGAAAGAAAUCGACAGUAGCGUCGAUGUCAAAGAAGAAGGACAGGACGUAGAAUUGAGCGAACUAAAACACGACGAAGAUACAGAUGUAGAUAUGAGAGAAGAAGCCUCGACCGAGGCCGUGAGUGACAAAAAGCGGAAGAGAUCGCCUAGUCCUACGGAAGAAGAGCGUCACGAUUCACCGCUGCCUAUUUUUACCGAAAACGAGCCAGAGAUUGACGAGUCUGCUUUGAUUCUAUCCUGGUAUGAUUCAGAUUUGAAUUUGGUCAUCGACAAAAAUGGAUUCUUUACUGCUACUCCCAUGCACAACGACGGAUUCUUGAACAUGUGGGCCGGAGCGAGAGCUUCCUACGGAUUUCUCUGCGGGAAAGUUUACUACGAAGCGAAGAUAGUGGAACACUGUACCGCGGAAAACGAGGAUCAACCGCAUGUACUUAGAGUCGGUUGGUCUAUCCCGAACACGUCUAUGCAACUCGGCGAAGAGAAAUUCAGUUUCGGGUACAACAGCACCGGGAAAAAGUUGACGGACAAUCAAUACGAAGACUAUGGGACUGCAUUUGGAAAGGACGAUGUCAUCGGUUGUUAUUUCGACGCAACAUCCGAAAAUAUUGUCCUCUCUUAUAGUAUUAAUGGACAAGAUCAGGGCAUUGCGUUUAGCAUAUCUAAAGACGAGCUCGGCGACCAACCACUAUUUCCACAUGUUCUAAGUAAGAACUGCAGCUUCGCUUGCAACUUCGGUCAGGAGUCACCGUGGGCAGAACGAAUUUUGGAAGGCUACGUCUCGAUCGGGAACGUUGAGCCUCAGUACAAAAUAGCUGGCCCGCGAAGACCGGAGAAGAAGAACGAUUGCGAAGUGAUAAUGAUUUGCGGUUUGCCUGCCUGCGGCAAGACUACCUGGGCGACGAAGUACGCGGCUGAUCAUCCACAGAAGAUGUACAAUAUUUUAGGGAUUAGUAGUUUAAUCGACAAACUGAAAGAUUCUGGAUUAUCUUACAAGAAGGAGCAUGACGACCAAUGGAAGACAAUUGUCGACAGAUGUACCGACGCAUUAAAUAAACUGAUAGAACUGGCUGCAAGUAGAAGACGUAAUUACAUAUUAGAUCAGACAAACGUGUACCCUUCCAUGCAGAGGCGCAAGAUGAAGAACUUUUACGGAUACCAGAGGAAAGCGGUCGUUAUAGUACCGUCCGAUGAGGAAUUCAAGUCACGUAUUGCGAAACAUAAGCCGAUCGAUGGCACGGAGAUCACGGAUUCUCUGCUCUUGGAAAUGAAAUCAAGUUUCAGAGCUCCAGUCGUUGGUGAAUCUUUCGACGAAGUUAAUUGGAUCGAACUGGAUCAAGAAGAGGGCGGCAAACUUAUGGAAGCGUACAAUAAAGAAGGAAAGGACGCUGGUUACGGUGAACAGCAAAUUAGUAAACGACCGCGAAUCGAUUCUAAAUCUGACGACAACAAUGAUAGUCGAAACGACGCACGCAAUCGCGAUAACAGGGACAAUCGAGAUUAUCGUGACAGACGAAAUAAUUAUUCAGACAGAAAUCGAAAUCCGAUUUGGCGCGGCGGGGGCGGUGGUAAUAUGGGAUGGAGAGACAGACCGCAAAGAGGAGGUGGACAUGUAAGACAUGGAACUGGUUAUGGCCCUCCGAUGCACCCACGGAGAAGAAGAGGCGCACCUAUCCCACUGGUACAUCGAUCGAUGAACAGAAGGGGUGGUAAUAUGGACAGACGAGGAGGAAAUGACAGAGGUCGAGCACUGGUUUCUCGUCCAGGAGUGCGGCCAAGAGCUCACGGGAAUUAUCAAGGACAGCAACAGGCAGUAUGGGGUGGCAACCAACAGGGCAGUUGGCAGAGCGGUCAAUCCCAAGAAGGCUGGGGCCAACAACAAAGUAAUUGGGGAUCACAACCGUGGAGUAAUAAUUGGAAGUCGUACGGCCAAAGUUCGUACAAUCAGAACAGUUACAAUCCACAAGGUUAUGGUAACGGGAAUUGGAAUAGUUGGAAUCAGCAGUAUUAUAAUCAGUAUUGGGGUCAGCAGCAACAACAACAGAGCGGGCAGACUACGACUAGCGGACAAGCUUCGAACAAACAAUAAUCCACUAGGAGAUAUGAGUCAGAAUGUGAGAUACAAAGAGGUACGCGAGUACAUUUGAUUUCUUGUCGUAAAUAGAUGAAGAGAAAUUGUAAUGAGGUGAAGAUAGAAAAUGAUCAACGUUAAUAACAUAGAUGUAUAUUCUUCGUGCCGGAGAAAUAGUGAAUGUGGCAGACAGAAUGAAAAAGCACAACUGCUCUUAUCUAACGAUUCCAGAGAGAUUUAGAGUUACCCGUGUGAAUGGCAAAAAGGGUAUAUGGGCAAUCUCUUGGUCACAGUGCAGUCAUUACUGGGCAUCGGUUCUGAUUACACAUAAAUAGAUGGACAAAUUUUUUCACGACAAUAUAUUCACAAUCUUUUUUUCGUUCGUGUACUUUGCGAUCUACGUAUUUUAAAGUUAUCCCGAUUAUGUAACUCGAGCAACAAUUUAGAUUUUUAUCGAGUGAAGGCACCGUUAUACAUGCACCACAUAAAGUUGAUCCUUUUUUUGUCGUUUUUGAGGAACGUAAUACAUACUAUAUAUUACAGGGUGUUCGACUACUGGUGGGAAAAAUUUCAAGGGGUAAUUCUACACACCAAGAUAAAUCAACAGUCAAGAUUGCUUCCAAAGCGAUUAGGGAUUGCACCUGAUGGUAGGCAAAUUUGGCUACCGCCUGAUGUCUGUUCUCAAAGACGACGUGUGCCUAAAAUUCUGAAUAUUAAGAUACUACUUGUAUUUUAGGAUCUCGGAAACAAUUUUCGUACUCUUGACUUUUGCCUUAUUUUGACUUCUAGAAUCCCUUACAAUUUUUCCCACCAGUAGCCGAACAUCCCGUACGUGUAACGUGCGAUAUGAAUUUAUCGCAAUAAAUUAUGUAACGACGAGAUCGUAUUCGUAUUACAUGCGUAGUUUUAAAAUAAAAAAAUAAGUAAAAGGGGGUAACGUACAAAUGUCUUGUAACGUCUUUCAAUUGAAAAAUCGGUCAAGAGGAAGGACAUCACGUAUGGGUACACUAUGCAAUUAGAAUUAAGAAUAAAAAUGUUUGCAAUGAAUAGUGGCUCGCGGAAUAGGCUCGUGUAAAUAUGUACAGAUUUUCAAACGUUCACUGGAAGUCUGUUUAUAUAUUGAUAAUAAAAUUGUAUCAUGUAAUUCUAAAAAAAGAUGUAUUACACGAGAGUGAUGAUGUAUAUGAUUUUUGUCUUAUCUUUCUAUACUAACUACGAUGUACAAAAAGAAGAAAAUAUCGUCACGAAUAAAUUAUUAUUGGAUUUUAUUUA